rnacentral:rRNA from 1 species
AGGCGAGGCCGAUAGGCGUAGUCGAUGCACAACCGGUUGAUAUUCCGGUACCACCGCGUGCGCGCCCAGUCCAAAAUGCGGUUGCUAAGGGGCUGUCCUCCCUUCGGGGAACGACGAACCGACCCACCGCACCGAGGACAGCAAUGAGGGGACGCAGGAGGAUAGGUGAACCCAGGCGAUGGUAGACCUGGGGUAAGCGAGUAGGACGGGGACUAGGUAAGUCCGGGCCCCAUAAAGUCCGAGACGCGAUGCCGAGCCGCUACAGGCGAAGUCAUUGAUUCCAUGCUGCCUAGAAAAGCCUCUAGCGAGUUCACGUGGUGCCCGUACCUAAACCAACACAGGUAGGCAGGUAGAGCAUACUCAGGCGAACGGGAGAACUGUGGUUAAGGAACUCGGCAAAUUGCAUCCGUAACUUCGGGAGAAGGAUGACCCUGCGAUGGUGACGGCACUAGCUGCCCGAGCCGGAGAGGGUGGCACAAAAUAGGGGAAAGCGACUGUUUACUAAAAACACAGCAGCGUGCGAAGUCGUAAGACCAUGUAUACGCUGUGACGCCUGCCCGGUGCCGGAAGGUUACGGGGAACGGUUAGCUCUUCGGAGCGAAGCUGUGAACCUAAGCCCCGGUAAACGGCGGCCGUAACUAUAACGGUCCUAAGGUAGCGAAAUUCCUUGUCGGGUAAGUUCCGACCUGCACGAAUGGCGUAACGACUUCCCUACUGUCUCAACCAUAGACCCAGCGAAAUUGAAGUACGAGUAAAGAUGCUCGUUAGCUACAGAAGGACGGAAAGACCCCGUGGACCUUUACUAUAACUUGGUAUUGGGUUGUGGCACGUGUUGUGUAGGAUAGGUCGGAGACUAGGAAGCGUGUGCGCCAGCAUGCGUGGAGUCACCCUUGAAAUACGACCCUGCUCAUGUCGGAACUCUAACCUAGGACCCUGAUCGGGUUCGGGAACAGUGCCAGGCGGGUAGUUUGACUGGGGCGGUCGCCUCCCAAAUGGUAACGGAGGCGCCCAAAGGUUCCCUCAGACUGGUUGGCAAUCAGUCGUCGAGUGCAAUGGCACAAGGGAGCUUGACUGUGAGACAUACAGGUCGAGCAGGUGCGAAAGCAGGGCAUAGUGAUCCAGCGAUUGCGUGUGGAAGCGUCGUUGCUCAACGGAUAAAAGGUACCCCGGGGAUAACAGGCUCAUCUUCCCCAAGAGUCCAUAUCGACGGGAAGGUUUGGCACCUCGAUGUCGGCUCAUCGCAUCCUGGGGCUGAAGCAGGUCCCAAGGGUUGGGCUGUUCGCCCAUUAAAGCGGUACGCGAGCUGGGUUUAGAACGUCGUGAGACAGUUCGGUCCCUAUCCUCUGUGGCCGUAGGAGAUUUGAGGAAAGCUGUCCGUAGUACGAGAGGACCCGGAUGGACGCAGCUCUCGUGUGCCAGUUGUUCCGCCAGGAGCACGGCUGGUUGGCGACCUGCGGAAGGGAUAAGCGCUGAAAGCAUCUAAGCGCGAAGCCUGUUCCAAGAUGAGAUCUCCCACUGGUACAACCAGGUAAGGCCCGUGGCAGAUAACCACGUUGAUAGGCCGGAUGUGUACGCACAGCAAUGUGUUCAGCAGACCGGUACUAAUCGGCCGAGGGCUUGGUAUCG